rnacentral:rRNA from 1 species
CACGUAGGGUGCGAGCGUUGUCCGGAAUUAUUGGGCGUAAAGAGCUCGUAGGCGGUGUGUCGCGUCGGCCGUGAAAACCUGCAGCUUAACUGUGGGCUUGCGGUCGAUACGGGCAUCACUGGAGUUCGGCAGGGGAGACUGGAAUUCCUGGUGUAGCGGUGAAAUGCGCAGAUAUCAGGAGGAACACCAGCGGCGAAGGCGGCAUCCUGGACUGGUCCUGACACUCAGGAGCGAAAGCGUGGGGAGCGAUCCGG